rnacentral:pre_miRNA from 9 species
UCUCGAUAGCGUAAAAGUUAACUCAAACUAUGGAGUUGGAACGUUUACGUACGUUUGCCGCUAGGGGCGCUGUUCCAACUGCAAAAAAAUUUGAGUUAACUUUUACUCUAUCGA